UAAUAAUUUCCGUGAAUAAAUUGGAUGCCCUCAAGUCAACGUCUAUCUUAUUCCCCACCAACCACUUUUCAGUCUAUAGUUGAUACAGACACUAUAUAUUUAUAUACAAUUGAUACUCAAUUUCUCGUAACCACAUCUUCUUCUAUAUUUGGGGAUAGGGUGUGUUUGGCGAUGGAUUAAAGUGCAGGCCGUCCACUCUACAGCUGCAGAAACUGCAGGAAUUCUAUUGCCUUGCAUGUUGAUCUCGAAUCCAAAACUUUUAAGGCAAAAUCUGGGCAAGCCUAUAUGUUUAGGCAGGCAAAAAAUAUAGUGGUUGGGGCAAAGGAGGUGAGGCAACUUAUAACUGGUGAUUACACAAUUGCUCACAUUUUCUGCCGCACAUGUGGCGAAGAAUUGGGUUGGACUUAUCUCACCGCUUUUGAUGUUCGACAGAAAUACAAGGAGGGCAAAUACAUUGUCGAGAAGGCUAAGAUUCUCAAAGAAUACUAAUGAAUCCCACUCUUCUAUAUAUUAUAUUUGUGUAUGUAAUGUAUAAUGUACUUAUCAAUUAUGAAUGAUGGAACUAUUUAAAGUAUAGUACGUAUUAAAUUUCUGCAAUUGUUGUUUGAAGUUGUAUGUUCCUAGUCGUUCACGACAUAUUGUUGUAUAUCUCGUGUUUGCGUGCUUUGAUUGUAAGAUGCUAUUAUUAUGAAUUUUGAAUGAACGCUACAGUGAUUGUAAAACA